GGCUUAACACAUGCAAGUCGAACGAGAAACUAGACUUCGGUUUAGUGGAAAGUGGCAGACGGGUGAGUAACGCGUGGGAAUCUACCUUUGAGUGGGGAAUAACAACUAGAAAUGGUUGCUAAUACCGCAUACACCCUACGGGGGAAAGACUUCGGUCGCUCUUAGAUGAGCCCGCGUACGAUUAGUUUGUUGGUGAGGUAAAGGCUCACCAAGACUACGAUCGUUAGCUGGUUUGAGAGGAUGAUCAGCCACACUGGGACUGAGACACGGCCCAGACUCCUACGGGAGGCAGCAGUGGGGAGUAUUGGACAAUGGGCGCAAGCCUGAUCCAGCCAUGCCGCGUGAGUGAAGAAGGCCUUAGGGUUGUAAAACUCUUUCGGCAGGGAAGAUAAUGACGGUACCUGCAGAAGAAGCUCCGGCUAACUCCGUGCCAGCAGCCACGGUAAUACGGAGGGGGCAAGCGUUGCUCGGAAUUACUGGGCGUAAAGCGAGCGUAGGCGGUUAAUCAAGUUGGUGGUGAAAGCCCAGAGCUUAACUCUGGAACUGCCAUCAAAACUGAUUGACUAGAGAUUGGUAGAGGAAAAUGGAAUUCCUAG
rnacentral:rRNA from 1 species